rnacentral:rRNA from 1 species
ACGGGAGGCAGCAGUGGGGAAUAUUGCGCAAUGGGGGGAACCCUGACGCAGCAACGCCGCGUGAAGGAAGAAGGCCUUCGGGUUGUAAACUUUUGUCGCAAGGGAAGAAGGAAGUGACGGUACCUUGUGAGAAAGCCACGGCUAACUACGUGCCAGCAGCCGCGGUAAUACGUAGGUGGCGAGCGUUGUCCGGAUUUACUGGGUGUAAAGGGCGCGUAGGCGGGCUGUCAAGUCAGAUGUGAAAUGCCGGGGCUUAACUUCGGAGCUGCAUUUGAAACUGACAGUCUUGAGUAUCGGAGAGGAAAGCGGAAUUCCUGGUGUAGCGGUGAAAUGCGUAGAUAUCAGGAGGAACACCGGUGGCGAAGGCGGCUUUCUGGACGACAACUGACGCUGAGGCGCGAAAGUGUGGGGAGCAAACAGGAUUAGAUACCCUGGUA